ensembl:lncRNA
GAUGGCUACUUCUCUCGACGUCAAUAUCGAGAAACUUUCUCACCACUGGAAAUACUCCACUUGGUUAAGGCGAGGGCAGGAUACACCAUGUCAAGUCGCUUACUGUGAAUUCACCAAACCAUUUCCUGCACUGGGGAGCUAGCAGGUUAAAGGAUUUGUUGGAAAUGUUUAUCGGUUUCAAAGCUGCAGCUCAUGUGUGAAAAGGCUUUGAUGAAGAUUAGAAUCUGCUAAGUCACAGAACCCACGUGGAUUCCUUGUUUUUGUGCCGCGCAAACCAGAUGCAACAAGACUGUUCACGCUUCACCUUGUUUGUCUUGAUGCGUCCUUGGGUUGAACAAAAGUUCAGCAGCAGCAGCAGAGGAGACGCAUUAAGCUAAGGGGCAAACUGAGGCGGAAACACUGUGUCAUUAUUAGGCCUUUCAUCACAGCCGGCAUUAGUGGGAAGAGCGCAGGUGUUAUAAAAACCCCUCAGGAUGUCGUGACAGCGAGCUGGACCUCAAAUCAGUCAGCAAACAUAAAUGUUAUUAUUUACACCAGCUGUGACGUGUGAAAGCCUCACCUUAUAAGGUGUUAAUGUUUGCUUGUGUUUAACAUGAUUAUUCUCAGAGACAUUAUUAGAGAAACACACACGGCACUAAAAGAAAGCAAGUGUGGUGUUAGAAGUACAACAGUGGAAAAACAGCCUUUUAACACAUUCAUUCAGUG